rnacentral:lncRNA from 1 species
CGUCUUUGCAGCUCCCCACGUUCCAAAACCAAAUUUUGGAAAAUUAGGAAAAACAUUUUUCCUUUCAAAUGUUCUAAUAAUGUGCAAGCUAUCAGAGGGGGUGGUCCCCACUCGCCCGCUAAUUAGUGAACCUCCACCCGUAAAUGGAUUGAUCUCUGACCUCAGCAGCGAUAACAACCCUAAUUAUGCCAUUAGUGGAAAAGCAGACAACAAUGUUUUCCAAAAUCAACCAUCGGGUGCAGGCCUCGUAAAGGUUCUCUCCAGUCUAGCUCUGAUGUCUUGCCAUCCGAGAUUGCCAUCUGUCCAAUACCGCAGUGCACAGCUGAAGCACGAGCAGGUAAUGGUAGACAUAAGGGACAGGUGGAGAGAACCGGGAAACCAAUGACCAAGGCAGACAAGGGAAAAAUUCUGCUAGCUAUGGAACUGCGUUCGAAAACUGAACAAUUAAAUGUAAUUGCAAAAACGUAUGACGAUGAACAAGCACAAGCUCUUCAACAAAAUCGUUUUCUACAGGAACAAAAUCAUAGGCUACAGGAACAACUCGAUUUAGCCAAAACUAAAUACGAUGAUGUCCACGACAAACUAGAUAAAUCUGAAGAGUUAUCUGCAAACAGGAGCGCUCAACUUGACAACAUGCAUGCUGUUUUGUUGAAUGUUACUCAAAAUAACACGGUGCUCCUCAAAGCGCUGCAGACCAAAGACGAUCAGUUAAUGAACACAAUGACAAAGUUGGAUGAUAAAUCAGCAGAACUUAUUGAAGUCGCUGACCAAAUGAAUGAUGAGAGAACUCAGGUGAUGAGGUUGGAAAUAUUGAUUUCUAAGCAAGCAGAGGAAAUCUCAUCACUGAAUCUCUCGCUCCGUACUCAAGACCUCUAUCUGCAAACCAUGACAGAUAAGUUUGAGACCGAAAGGAGCAGGUGUGACACUCACGUGUCCAAAAUCAGUACUCUAAGCGCUCAAGUGGACUCUGCAAUGCAGCAGAAUUCCACCCUUAGGUACCAUCUGGAGGAAAUCCAGAAUGGUCACGCUCUACAGCGCGACUUCCCAUCCAAGCAACCGGAGCCCUGUACUCACAGGAGUGAAGACAAUAGGUUUCAGACAUUGCCUCCCUCAUGUGUCCCUCAGUCUUCUCCUCUUUGCCCUUCGGCACUGAGUUAUAUGGCGCCUCUUGGCCAACAACAAGGCUUGGCUUCCUCUCUUGGCCUUUCGGCCCCAAUCUCUCCACAGGAUGAAGCCAACC